rnacentral:rRNA from 1 species
UUUCCGUAGGUGAACCUGCGGAGGGAUCAUUACCGAGUUUACAACUCCCAAACCCCUGUGAACAUACCACUUGUUGCCUCGGCGGAUCAGCCCGCUCCCGGUAAAACGGGACGGCCCGCCAGAGGACCCCUAAACUCUGUUUCUAUAUGUAACUUCUGAGUAAAACCAUAAAUAAAUCAAAACUUUCAACAACGGAUCUCUUGGUUCUGGCAUCGAUGAAGAACGCAGCAAAAUGCGAUAAGUAAUGUGAAUUGCAGAAUUCAGUGAAUCAUCGAAUCUUUGAACGCACAUUGCGCCCGCCAGUAUUCUGGCGGGCAUGCCUGUUCGAGCGUCAUUUCAACCCUCAAGCACAGCUUGGUGUUGGGACUCGCGUUAAUUCGCGUUCCCCAAAUUGAUUGGCGGUCACGUCGAGCUUCCAUAGCGUAGUAGUAAAACCCUCGUUACUGGUAAUCGUCGCGGCCACGCCGUUAAACCCCAACUUUCUGAAUGUUGACCUCGAAUCAGGUGA